CUCAAAGAUUAAGCCAUGCAAGUCUAAGUACGAGCUCUCGUACAGUGAAACUGCGAAUGGCUCAUUAAAUCAGUUAUGGUUCAUUUGAUCGUACAGUUUACUUGGAUAACUGUGGUAAUUCUAGAGCUAAUACAUGCGAGAAGCGCCGACCUCGCGGGAGGGGUGCAUUUAUCAGACCAAAAACCGGCCGCGUCUUCGGGCGCGUUCGCCUUGGUGACUCUGGAUAACUUUGCGGAUCGCACGGUCUAGCACCGGCGACGGAUCAUUCAAGUGUCUGCCCUAUCAACUUUCGUCGGUACGGUAUUUGCCUACCGAGGUUCUUACGGGUGACGGGGAAUCAGGGUUCGAUUCCGGAGAGGGAGCCUGAGAAACGGCUACCACAUCCAAGGAAGGCAGCAGGCGCGCAAAUUACCCAUUCCCGACGCGGGGAGGUAGUGACGAAAAAUAACAAUGCAGGACUCGUUCGAGGCCCUGUAAUUGGAAUGAGUACACUUUAAAAGCUUUAACGAGUAUCCAUUGGAGGGCAAGUCUGGUGCCAGCAGCCGCGGUAAUUCCAGCUCCAAAAGUAUAUAUUUAAGUUGUUGCGGUUAAAAAGCUCGUAGUUGGAUUUUGGGCGCAGGCGGCCGGUCCGUCGCAAGGCGUGUACUGGACGUCCUGGCCUUCCCUCCGGUUCUCCGCCGGUGCUCUUGACUGAGUGUCGGCGGCGGCCGGAACGUUUACUUUGAAAAAUUAGAGUGUUCAAAGCAGGCUCUCGAGCCUGGAUAAUGGUGCAUGGAAUAAUGGAAUA
rnacentral:ncRNA from 1 species